AUGCUACUCCCUCCGUUCCAUAAUUCUUGUCUCAAAUUUGCCUAAAUAUGGAUGUAUCUAUUCCUAAAAAACGUCUAGAUACAUGUAAUAUUUUGACAAGAAUUAUGGAACGGAGGGAGUAUCCC
rnacentral:pre_miRNA from 1 species